rfam:Spinacia oleracea cultivar SynViroflay scaffold985.con0003.1, whole genome shotgun sequence.
UUACAUACCUGGACGGGGCUAAUGGGUGAUCAGGAAGGCCCAUGGCCUAGGCUGGUGGCUUCCAUUGCACAUCAUUGGGGAGGUGCACCCGCCUAACAUCUCCCUUGAUGGGAGACUGUACGUCGUAAUUUGUUGGAGAGAGGGCCUGCGCUCGUCGCGGCCCUUA